AUUGAACGCUGGCGGCAGGCUCAACACAUGAUAGUCGAACGAUUGGCGGACGGGUGAGUAUUUUCUGGGAAACUGCCUGAUGGAGGGGGAUACCUACUGGGAACGGUAGCUAAUAACGCAUACCAUCGUAUGUUUCCAGAUGGGAUUAGCUAGUAGGUGGGGUAAAGGUUCACCUAGGCGCCGAUCCCUAGCUGGUCUGAGAGGAUGACCAGCCACACUGGAAAUGAGACACGUUCCAGACUCCUACGGGAGGCAGCAGUGGGGAAUAUGGCACAAUGGGCGCAAGCCUGAUGCAGCCAUGCCGCGUGUAUGAAGAAGGCCUUCGGGUUGUAAAGUACUUUCAGCGGGGAGGCGUUACCCGCAGAAGAAGCACCGGCUAACUCCGUGCCAGCAGCCGCGGUAAUAC
rnacentral:rRNA from 1 species